GAUGAACGCUAGCGGCGUGCCUAACACAUGCAAGUCGAACGUGAGAGGGUACUUGUAUCCUUGAAAGUGGCGGACGGGUGAGUAAGACGUAGGUGACCUGCCUUGAAGUGGGGGGAUAACCAUUGGAAACGAUGGCUAAUACCGCAUAAGCUGGUGACGAUGGGAAUCGUUAUCAGGAAAGCUUUAGUGCUUUGAGAGGGGGCCUACGGCCGAUUAGCUAGUUGGUGAGGUAAAGGCUCACCAAGGCGAUGAUCGGUAGCUGGUCUGAGAGGACGAUCAGCCACACGGGAACUGAGACACGGUCCCGACUCCUACGGGAGGCAGCAGUAAGGAAUAUUCGGCAAUGGGGGCAACCCUGACCGAGCAACGCCGCGUGGAGGAUGACGGUUUUCGGAUUGUAAACUCCUUUUCUCAGGGAAGAGCGAGGACGGUACCUGAGGAAUAAGUCACGGCUAACUACGUG
rnacentral:rRNA from 1 species